CAGCCGACAUCAUUUUGUUCCCUCCCAAUUCCUUUUUUGUCUUCAACUCAAAGCAUCAUACACACACAAACACAAUGCAGACAUCUUAUCUUCUUAUUCAUUUCACAAACCCCUCACAACCCUCCUUCUUCAAACUGUAGAAUCACAAUACACUCACCUGUUACCCUCUCCAAAUGAAACGACGGCCACCACUGUCGGGUGGCGGCAUACGGCGGCGUACGGCGGCGACGCCAAGGGAAAACGAGAGAGCGAGAGAGAGCGAGACGAGAAGGAGAUCGAGAACAACAGCAACGACGACGACGGUAGCUCCGACGUCGUCUACGGCGGUGCGAUUCAGGUCGUCUGGUUCGGCUCGGCUUCCAAAGCUUGGGUCGGUUCAGGUUCCGUUUCAGAGACGGUGGUGGUUACCUUUGGUGGUUCGUGUUUCGGCUCGGUCUUGAUUCGGGUCAGUUUCGGUCUCGCCGGAACCGGAGUCUUGACGGAACUCCUUCUUUCCAUAUUCGGGUAAACGCUUACGUCCGUUCUCUUGGGCUUUCUCCAAUCCUUACUCGUGCGUUAAUUCAAGAAAUCCCCAUACGCAACCACUGUGGAUGUUGACGAUGCAUGGAAUCUAGUAGGAUGCUUAGAUACACACUUAAAAAUUUGUAUUCAUGUCGUAUUAUUUCAUUAUUCUUGAUGUUGUAUUUUGUUUCGAAACCUUGAAAUUGAUUCUUUAGAAAUGGAAGGAAAUGAUUAUUUAAA